rnacentral:rRNA from 1 species
GUCCACGCUGUAAACGAUGGAUACUAGAUUUGGUGGGUCUUGACCACUGCCGAGUCGGAGCUAACGCAAUAAGUAUCCCGCCUGGGGAGUACGGUCGCAAGAUUAAAACUCAAAGGAAUUGACGGGGGCCCGCACAAGCGGUGGAUCAUGUGGUUUAAUUCGAAGCAACGCGAAGAACCUUACCUGGGUUUGACAUCCCUUGACAACUACAGAAAUGUAGCUUUCGUAGCAAUACGACAAGGUGACAGGUGCUGCAUGGCUGUCGU